UACGUAGGGUGCAAGCGUUAAUCGGAAUUACUGGGCGUAAAGCGUGCGCAGGCGGUUAUGCAAGACAGAUGUGAAAUCCCCGGGCUUAGCCUGGGAACCGCAUUUGUGACUGCAUAGCUGGAGUACGGCAGAGGGGGAUGGAAUUCCGCGUGUAGCAGUGAAAUGCGUAGAUAUGCGGAGGAACACCGAUGGCGAAGGCAGUCCCCUGGGCCUGUACUGACGCUCAUGCACGAAAGCGUGGGGAGCAAACAGG
rnacentral:rRNA from 1 species